rnacentral:miRNA from 3 species
CCUAUUCGGGAUGACUUGGUUC